GUCAGGAAUGUAAUGAUGUGGUUUGCCUUUGUCCUCACCCAAAUUUCAUCUUGAUUUAUAGUUCCCAUAAUCCCUACAUGUCACAGGAGGGACUAGGUGGGAGGUAAUUGAAUCAUGGGGGCAGUCUCCCCCAUGCUGUUCUCAUGAUGGUGAGUGAGUUCUCAUGAUAUCUGAUGGUUUUAUGUGUCUGGCAUUUCCCCUGCUGACUCUCAUUCUCUCUCUUGCCACCCUCUGAAGAGAUGCCUUCUGCCAUGAUUAUAAGUUUCCUGAGGCCUCCCCAGCCAUGCAGAACUUCCAGUGAUUCAAGUUUGACACACCACACCACGGUGGAUGUGCCUUGUCAUGACACAUCUCAGCAGCACUAGAAGAUACAUCCAAAGUCCUGUGAGCAAGGUCUGUGGUAUCUGUUUAUUAUGGCAGCCCAGUAAGACUAAGACAGGCCAUCACAAGACGUGAACGUUUUGGACCUUCUCUUGGGCCCUAGUAAACAGAAAUCAGAAGGAAGAAAACUUUGCUAAUGCUCUGCCAAGCCUCACUUUUCUCUCAUGAUUAGAAGGUUUGAUGUUAUCCAGAAUUACUCAUGGAAGAUGGAAGAGCUGCAGCAUUACAAUGAAAGCCAUCUUACAACAGCCUGAGCUAUUUAUUAAACUAAUCCACGUUCUGAACAGUUAUUGCUACUGGAAACCAGUCCCGAUCCAGACCACAAAAGACGAUUCUUGGAUCUUGCACAAGAAAGAAAGGGAAGAUCUGGCAAGAGUUAGCGUGCAGUUCUACAUUGUGACAAUUCAUGAGAGCUAAGGACUGGCUGUCUCUUGGGACAAAUAGGCUUUCUUGAGUCUGCAUGAGGCCCUCACCAGAUACAGCCACCUGAUCUUGGACUUCACAGCCUCCAGAAAUAUGCCCUGGAAUACACUUGUGUCAGUGACAAAUGCUGCUUUGCUGUGCUACAUCGAGUACAAGUCCAGUGAUUCAAGUUUGACACACCACACCACGGUGGAUGUGCCUUGUCAUGACACAUCUUCUCAGCAGCACUAGAAGAUACAUCCAAAGUCCUGUGAGCAAGGACACAGCGAGAAGAUGGCUGUCUACAAGCCAGGAAGAGAGUCCUCACCAGAACCAAACCCUGCUGGACUUUGAUCUUGGACUUCCCAGCCUCUAAAACUGUGAAGACAUAAAUUUCUGUUGUUAAACCCACACAGGUCUGUGGUAUCUGUUUAUUAUGGCAGCCCAGUAAGACUAAGACAGGCCAUCACAAGACAUGAAUGUUUUGGACCUUCUCUUGGGCCCUAGUAAACAGAAAUCAGGUACGCAAAAGGGGUAAGCAUAUAAUUUCCUUUAUUUUUAUUUUUAAUGUGUAAGCCUUAGGUUUUUAUUUAUUUAUUUGGUGAAGACAAUCACAUUGUGUACGUACAAUGUAAUUAUAUUGUUGACGAGAAGUUACUUAAAAUUUUUUAAAAAUUCUAAUCGAUUUCUAGAUGUCCAAAUGAGAAGAUAGCAUUUAUAUACCAUCAGAACAUAAAAUAAUUCAAAAAAAUAAAUUUAUAAAACAAUAUGUAUUAUAUUGAGAGAAAGAGAGGGAGAGAGUAUUGGAAGAAUAUAUGCAAAUACAAUGUGAUAAUGUGAUGUCUUUGUGAGAAUGCUAUAUGUCAUUUUCUUUGUUUAUAUGAAUUUUUACAAUUUUUACCUUUGAAAUAUAAAAAAGAGAGAAUAAAAGUCAUUGAAAAAAUCAAAAGUAACUAUUUUCAUAGGUGAGUAAGUAUACAUCUUUAACAGAAC
rnacentral:lncRNA from 10 species